CCUACGGGCGGCAGCAGUGAGGAAUAUUGGUCAAUGGGCGCGAGCCUGAACCAGCCAAGUCGCGUGAGGGAAGACGGUCCUAUGGAUUGUAAACCUCUUUUGUCGGGGAGCAAAAGACGCCACGCGUGGCGUUCCGAGAGUACCCGAAGAAAAAGCAUCGGCUAACUCCGUGCCAGCAGCCGCGGUAAUACGGAGGAUGCGAGCGUUAUCCGGAUUUAUUGGGUUUAAAGGGUGCGCAGGCGGAAGAUCAAGUCAGCGGUAAAAUUGAGAGGCUCAAACGCUUCGAGCCUUUGAAACUGGUUUUCGUGAGGGCGGGAGAGGAAGGGGGAAGGCGUGGUGUAGCGGUGAAAGGCAUAGAGAUCACGCAGAACACCGAUGGCGAAGGCAGCUGACUGGCGCUCAACUGACGCUGAGGCACGAAAGUGUGGGUAUCGAACAGGAUUGGAUACCCGGGUAGUC
rnacentral:rRNA from 1 species